ACAGUGCAUGAAGUUCAACUAACACCCCACCUCGGGUGAUUCUCAGCUGGGAAGUGGCUCUAGCUAAAUAAUAAUGGCACACUCAGAAUCUUCCAUGAUUUUUGGAAUUCUAGAAUAAUGAACUGUUUGGGCACAGGGGACUCUUCUGAAGUACCCAACAAUUGAAAGGGGGUAGGGUCAGCAGGCCCAGGGGCUUCCCAUCAAGGCUUCACUUCUCCAGGAGCAAACUGUUUCUAAAAUCACAACUGUGCACAGGCAUGGGUAGGUGGACACCCACACUUGCUUUUUCAUUGCUCAUCAAAGGAGAGCAAUUUAUAAUCAUCUCCAUUGACUUUCAAACAUGCUGUGAAGUAAACAGACUCUAUAAUAACGUGUUUACAAAUGAGGUCACUGAAGCUCCAAGAAGGUAAGAGACUUUUCAAGAUUUAUCGUUUAUGGGCUGUGCUGGACAAGACCCAAAAUUUCCUAGUUCCUAGUCACAGGCCUUUUCCACCUCCAACUUCCAAGUUUGCUAUAGCAACCACUUAUAUUUCUAUAGAAAUUUUUACUUGUAAAGUAUAUUUAAAAACCAUUACCUCAUUUUUAUCCUGCUGAAGGCCUGUCAGUUGGGAGUGCUGGGGGCUAUUUCUCUUGGUUUAGAGAUGGCGAAACUGAAGAGAUUUUCCCUGAGUUUCCUAAUCAUUCAGCAAACCCUCUUAGAGCACCCAUGAUUCACCAAGCACAUCCCAGACAUGGCUGCCUAAUGGCAAAGCUAACUUCUAUCUCAAUGUGUCUUGACUGCACAUCCAGUUCCCUUUAGGAGUUGAGAUUUUCGAGGCACAAAUAAAAGUUUUCAAAAGAAGCUUCCAAAUAUGCCAUGGACAAAUGGUCCUGGCAAUGGUAAUAAAUAUUCCAUCCAAAUGCUGACCCUCCAUAGCCCACUCUUAUUUUAAGAUGGCCUUCCAAUCCUAGAAUUAAUGUAAGAGAUGUGUAACAAUUCUAAGAUUGUUAAUUCUAUAUGGCAUGGCUAUAACAACAUUUGAUGAGGGCACCAGGCCCAGGCUUUGGUUUUGAUUUGAAAUAGGCAAAGCAUGUAUGAAUGCCAUCCACCCUACCAGUGCUGUCUCCUCUCCAUCUUCUCAGCACCAUGAUUCUGCAGGCUCCUCCACCUGAGAACUGUAUCCUUGGUUCUGUCCCUGUUAGUCCCCCUGAUGAAUUGCCAGUACAUCAGUGGCACAGGCUGUCACAAAAACAGAGAUGGGAUGGCAAGCCCUAGAGAUGGCUGUGGAAGACAUGUCUGCUCUGGGAGAGGAUUUGAACUAGCUUGUGCUGAGAUUCACUCUGCUGCUAAGGACACAUGAAAUAGACUCACUGAAAGUACUUUAAAUACCUUCUAGUAACGUGGUCUCUCCUGGAAUUCAGUGUCAGUCAGGCCCCUAGGUAUAAUAGUAAGCUGUCCAGCACUUUCUAGUUUACACAUAUUCUGUCAACCUUCUACAGAUUCUCAAAGCAAUUCCCAUUUCUACAUUUUCCUUUAUGACUUUCCCAUGGAUAGGUAAACAGUCCUAGGGUAUUUUUUUUUAAAGGGAGGGGGUGGAUUUCAUUUGAGUGAAAAGCUGUGUGCUGUCCCCGACUUCAGAAAAGGUGCUUCUCCUCCAUU
rnacentral:lncRNA from 1 species